ensembl:lncRNA
CUCGCGGGGGAUGUGCUAAGGACGGCCUGAGGCAGGGCCACUCCACACCCGCCAGCGCCCAGGCCACACAGACACAGAACGCAAGAGAGAGACUGACCCACCCACGAACCGGUACCCAUAGACGCAGAGACCGAGGCAGAAAUGACGGGAUCUGCCGCAGAUCGGCCAGGAGCCGGGACAGACAGCGGCUCCGCAGACUGUGGAGCAGCAUCAGCCGCGCUGUAAACAAGAGGGAAACGCCAAGGGCAUUACAGAGGACGUCAGCCCUGCCAUCACCGGGCUGGGGAAACAAUGCCAACCAUGGCUGGUCUCCAGGUUCACAGUGAUAGGGGAAAUAAACCCUUAUUUGUCUAAGCCAUUGUGAUCUGUUUUCCUUUUUUUUUUUUUUUUUUUUUUCAGCCAAACACCUUACAGAAGAGGGAUAUUUGUUAAAAUUCAGAAGGGGAGGGAAAGAAGAGACUGCGCAGGAAACCGUGGUGGGUAAAUGUCAAAGAAUUUGUUUGCAGGUGGGAGGGGCCUGAGCACGAUUUUGUCACAAUAGCAGAUUGAGCACAGGCACAGGGCUUUAUACUGAUCAACGUGUUUUAAAAAAUAUUUUGUAGGGGCCGGGCGCGGUGGCUCAAGCCUGUAAUCCCAGCACUUUGGGAGGCCGAGACGGGUGGAUCACGAGGUCAGGAGAUCGAGACCAUCCUGGCUAACACGGUGAAACCCCGUCUCUACUAAAAAUACAAAAAAAACGUAGCCGGGCGAGGUGGCAGGCGCCUGUAGUCCCAGCUACUCGGGAGGCUGAGGCAGAAGAAUGGCGUGAACCCGGGAGGCGGAGCUUGCAGUGAGCUGAGAUCCGGCCAUUGCACUCCAGCCUGGGUGACAGAGCGAGACUCCGUCUCAAAAAAAAAAAAAAAAAAUUUUGUAGGCCGGGCGCGGUGGUUCACUCCUGUAAUCCCAGCACUUUGGGAGGCCGAGGCGGGCGGAUCACAAGGUCAGGAGAUCGAGACCAUCCUGGCUAAUAAGGUGAAACCCCGUCUCUACCAAAAAUACAAAAAAUUAGCCAGGCGUGGUGGCGGGCUCCUGUAGUCCCAGCUACUGCAGAGGCUGAGGCAGGAGAAUCGCUUGAACUUGGGAGACGGAGGUUGCAGUGAGCUGAGAUCGCUCACUUGAGAUCGCGCCACUGCACUCCAGCCUGGCGACACAGCGAGACUCCAGUUCAAAAAAAAAGUAGAGACGGAGGUCUCACGAUGUUGACCAGGCUAGUCUCGGACUCCUCACCUCAAGCCAUCCUCAGGUCCAGGUCUCCCAAAGUGCUAGGAUUAAGGCCUGAGUCACCGCGCCCAGCAGAACGCAUUUAGUUCUCACUGUAACUUUCUGAGGCAGGCUGUGCUGUUAUCUUCACCACACAGAGGGAACUGUGGCUUAGACAAGAAAAGCGCCAGCCAGCCGGUGGUCAGGCAGGAUUUGAACUCAAGCACACGGUGCCCAUCCAGUCCCGAUGGACUCUGACUCCUCCGACAGCGGAGGGAGCGAGUCGCCUGGUGAACAAUGAGUGUCUCAGGGUCCCGA